rnacentral:rRNA from 1 species
CAACCUACCUUUGAGACCGGGAUAGCCCUGAGAAAUCAGGAUUAAUACCGGAUGCGGUCACGACAAGGCAUCUUGACGUGCCCAAAGGCGCAAGCCGCUCAAUGACGGGCUCGCGGCUUAUUAGCUUGUUGGUGGGGUAAUGGCCUACCAAGGCGAUGAUGAGUAGCUGGUCUGAGAGGACGAUCAGCCACACUGGGACUGAGACACGGCCCAG